rnacentral:rRNA from 1 species
GUAGGGAAUUUUCGGCAAUGGGGGGAACCCUGACCGAGCAAUGCCGCGUGAAUGAAGACGAUCUUCGGAUUGUAAAGUUCUGUUAUUGGGAAAGAAAGAUAUGAUCAGGAAAUGGGUUAUAUUUGACGGUACCUAAAUAAGAAGCCACGGCUAACUACGUGCCAGCAGCCGCGGUAAUACGUAGGUGGCAAGCGUUGUCCGGAAUUAUUGGGCGUAAAGCGCGCGCAGGCGGGAUAUCAAGUCUGUCUUAAAAGUGCGAGGCUCAACCUCGGGAGGGGACAGAAACUGGUAUUCUUGAGUGUCGGAGAGGAAAGUGGAAUUCCAAGUGUAGCGGUGAAAUGCGUAGAGAUUUGGAAGAACACCAGUGGCGAAGGCGACUUUCUGGACGAUGUCUGACGCUGAGGCGCGAAAGCUAGGGGAGCGAACGGGAUUAGAAACCCGAGUAGUCC